rnacentral:tRNA from 1 species
GGGCCGGUAGCUCAACGGCAGAGCAGGCGCCUUUUAAGCGCUUGGUUGUGGGUUCGAGUCCCACCCGGCUCACCA